rnacentral:sRNA from 1 species
UAACCAGGAAUAGCGGGGUUGCCCGGGAC